GUGGCUCAGGAGAGGAUUCAUUUUGAAGGUGCUGCUUGAGCAAAACCCUGAAAGAUGGUGAGGGAGUAAGUCCUGUAGAUAUCUGGAGAAAAACAUUCCAGGCAGAGGAGAAAGGUCGUGCAAGAGGUCCUGGUGCAGGAGCAGGCGAGAUCUGAUUGAAGGACAGUAAGGAGGCCAGUGGGGUUAAAGCAAUGGAAGGGGAGGAGCUGGAAAUGGAAAUCAGAGAGGCAGCCAGUCCUGGAAGGGAUCAUGGAGGUGCUUGAGGGCCACGUGAGGGCUUUACUCUGAGGGAAACGAGGAGCUGCCGCAGGGAUUUGAGCUCCAAAGUGACAAGAUCUGAGCCACCCUUUCCUCGCUAAAGGGUGUAAUUGUAGAAAGUGAUGGCGGAGGAGGCUGCUGCUUGAGGCCAUGAGAUUUAAGAAAAAGCAUAAUACUGGUUGCAAACCACUAAAAUGACCUCAUGUCCCACCGACAGAUCACAGUUUGCAGUUUGGAAAACACUACUCCAAGGUAGAAAUUAUGGACAUCUCCAGAACAGGGACCCAAAUGCAGUGUCUACACUGGGAACCUCACUGGCAAAGCCACAAGAAGGAUGAGGAGGAAGGAGAGAAACAUCAAAGCACCUGAAGGAAUCACCUAGGGGGAAGUUUCCAGCCACUCCUUUCAGGACUGACGUGGCAUGAAAGGGCCAGGCUGACCAGGAGGCCCAUGUAGGACUAACGGACAGCAGGAGAAGCUGAGGUCUCCAGGUACCCGGUACUGUUCGGCGGGAGGGGGGGUGGGGCAGAAACGAGAGUCCCUUAGUACCUUCUCAGCCGCCAGCAGGCAGCCCUCAGACCCGGCAGCCCUCAGACCCAUAAACACCCCCAGCUUGAGUAGCCGCCUCCCCUCCCUCCCUCAGAAGUGUGGCGGGGACACAGAAAGCCAGGAAGAGCCUUUGGAGUGGGCAUGUGGUGAUGGGCCAGGGAGCAAAUUGUUUCCUUCGUUCCUUCUCGGCAGCUGCACCAGGCCGGUUGAGAUAAGAGAGUCUUCGGGGAAACUUCCUUUUAGGCACAAACCAACGGCUGGGCCAGGCACACCACCGGCAUCUGUGGGCAGUUUCUCUGAAGUCAUGGGGCCUGGGGGAGGGUUUUACCAGCAUCAAGCUGAGCCCUUCCCCCCCCCCCCCCCCCCCCCGCCCCGCUCAUGUCUCUUCUGCCCUCCUUCCUCCCUGCAGCCCCCAACACGCCUCCCUCCCCCACAGUUUGGGCUUUUAGUAUGGCCGCUAGAGUUGGGCAGUGCCAAGGGUGUGGCUGAAGCAGCCACAGCCAGAAGGAAAGGGGGUGAGCCCACUGGCCUCACCAGGAAGGCAUGCCCUGAUGCUCUCAUAACCUCUGCGGGCACAAACAUCCCCUCUCCCAGGCCCGGGAGCAGAGCUAAGGGCUGGGUCCCAGGCCCUGCUUGUCCCCCGUUACUAAGAGGAAAGGAAAAGCUGUUUCUGUCUUCCCUUGUGGGUUUCUACACGGGCUGUUUCCGCAUUCCAUACGGACCAAGGGAAUAAAUCAUCUGAAAUGCUGAGCCUCGUUGGGUUCUGUAGAUGAGCCUCAAGGAAGCAAGCCCAGAAGUUGCACCCCCUUCCUCAGGGAGCACCCGGGCUGAUGACGGAGAAUCUGUCCCACCCCUUCGGGACCCUGACAGAGCGGUGUGAUUCAUGUUCAUUCUUUCAUUCAACAAGUACUAUAUUUAUUGAGCCCCCCCCUUAAGUGGUAAUCACUUUAUAUUCCCUUAUCUAACUUAAUCCACAUUAACAGCUGGGAGAAAGGUAGUAUCGUGCCCAUUUCACAGGUAGAGACAAUGAGGCCCAGAGAGGUCAGUGACUUGCCCGGGGUCAGAUAGCCAGAAAAUGCUACUGAUGGGAAAAGCGGAGCCAGGCUCUGUUGGAUCCCAAUGCUCUCUUCCCACCACCCUGUGCCCAGUCACAAUAGUGACAACUGAUGACCUUUUCUGGGCACUCACAACAUGCCAGUCACUCACCCUUCCCCCAGGGAUCACAGUUCUCUGAUCCUUAGGUGUAAUGGUACCGGUUUUUGUUUUUUAAUUUUUAUUUAAUGUUUAUUUAUUUUUGAGACAGAGCAUGAACGGGGGAGGGUCAGAGAGAGAGGAGACACAGAAUCCAAAGCAGGCUCCAGGCUCUGAGCUGUCAGCACAGAGCCCGACAUGGGACUCGAACUCACGAACCGCGAGAUCAUGACCUGGGCCGAAGUCGGAAGCCCAACCGACUGAGCCACCCAGGCGCCCCAAGUCAUGGUACCUGUUUAACAGACAACGACUAAGGCUCAAAAAGGUAAUUUUGCCCUGUGACACGAUUUAGAGGCUGUCAGGGUUGGAGCUAUGUUUUAGGUUUGGGUUUUGGACAGCGGGGACCCAGAAUUAGCAGCUGGGAUUUGAACCCAGGCGGUCAGGCCAGGCAGGACCAGAAGUGACCAGGCGUUAUCAAUUCUGUGGCUGCCAGAUAGAGGGUUAUUAAUAUCCAUGAGGUGACUAUUGCAGAAUAGUCAGUCGCUCCCACAGGACAGCUCUGGGUCACAGAAUUAGAGCCAGGUCAGCACCCCCCCCCUCCACCCCCCAGCCCCACAGGGGCUCAUCCUGAGAAGCCAGAUCCCUCAGCUGGGCCUCACAGCCCCUGCCCUGGGAGCCCUUACCCAACCAGGCGGCCGCCCCGUGACUGGGAGGGGUGACCCCUGUCACACUUGCAUGUGUGCGAGCCUGUGGAUGUGCUUGUGUGGAGGAAGACCUGUCUAGCCCUGGGUGAGAGGAUGCCUCGAGGGUGUCCUGCCAGCGGAAGGCCUUCCCCCACCGAUCCUAGCCUCAGCAUGCCCUAAAGGCAGGCCCAGCCACCCUCUCCCUUUCUCAAGCCAGAUGAAGGGGAGUAAGGGUGGAUUCGCUGGGAGGGAAGCCUAAGGGAAGGGAGCAGAGGGAACUAGAGUGGGGAUGCAGGUUCCUUGUCAGAGGCAAAAAGAGCCUCGAACCCUCUCCCUGAAUAUUUCCCCAGAAGACAUCCUCCUGCGGCCUCCUUGGGAAAUGGAAGCUUCCAGCUCUGAGAGUCCGAGGGAAAGCCUUCCUCUCCCUGCCCCAAUCCCAGAGAUCUUUCCCCAUACCUGUACCACAAACCUUGUCCCCCAAAGAUCCUGGAACAACAGGACUGUAAUCUUGGGGUGCUUCUGAGAUGGACCCCCGAGAGCCUCCUCCACUGUGGACCCCUCAGAUGUAAGCUGGGAACGGUUUGAGAGCAGCCGGCCCAGGCAGCCCUGCCUCAGGCCUCCAGGUUUUCUGCCCAAAGCCCAGCUGUGUAGAGAAGGGUGGACACAAGGCGUCCUCUUUCAGACUGGAGGCUCUUGGUGUGUUUGGGGGGACAGGGCGAGAAUGGCCUUGUGCUCUGGUCCUGUUCAUUGGCUCAUUAACUUCUCAAAUACUGAUGGCAUGCCCACCUUGUGCCUGGCCCUGGUUUCGGAGCCACAGGGCAUCAUCCCUGGCCAGAAGGUCUCUCUCCACACCCUCCCUCCCCUCAGGACAACCCAGCUUCUCCACUCCUGGGCUCUGGGCUGAAUCUGCCCUGGCUUGCCUCACUCCUCAGAGAGACAGGAAGGCCCUAAACUUAACAAAGAUCGGUAUAAACCCCAGCUAUGGGAUUUCAGUUUAAAAUUUUAAAAGUGAGGAGGGAGAAAAACAACCAAAUUAUACCAAAGUAGGAACUCAGAGAAGAAAAGGGCAUUGACGUGGGGACUAGACAUAACAGCAUAAUUAGACCGGCUUUAAGCACAACCUUGAGCACUAUAUUAGCUUUCACACAUCAACACCACCUCACAAUGCUGGUGUGAUUGUCCCCAUCUUAGAGAAGAGAAAGUUAAGGCCCAGAGAAGAAAUUUAGCCAGUGGCAGACACAGGAUUCUAACCUAGAUCUGUCCAAAGUCUUGGUGGGGCUCAGGGCAACCCAGAUGGGCUCUGCAGAGGCACCAGGCAGGGCCUCACAGACCAUCACUCCGUUGCCUCAAGAGACUUCCAGUCCUAUGAUGAUGGCAUAGCUGUAAACAGGGUGGGGAACAGGGACACUGUCUCCCUGCAGCCUGAGGAGAUGGUGAAUGGGGUUCUCAGACCUCCCCAGCAGAGGAGACAAGCAGGGCCCCAGGAGGAGGACACAUGCUGGCUUCUGUCCCACUUGGAGCCAGACCCAGAGGCUGACAGGGGAUGUGUGUCAGGGCCCAGGCUGGUGAGCUAUGCUCGCCUCUUAACAAAUGGGAAGAGAAGCCUUGUGGGACUGUAAAUGUGUGUUGGGAGAAGAGAGAAGGAGAAGGGUGCAGGCCCUGAAAAGAGCUCCUCAGACACGGAUACCCGGUGAUUCCAAACAUCUACCAGGCCAGAUGAAGGCAAGGGAGUGCCUUCUUGAGAGUGGUUUCCAUCUUAAUCGACAACGAAACAUCUGCUGGAAGGGCUUCUGUCUCCUCCCUCAGACCGGAAGUUCUGUGAGGACAGGGUGCAACCUGAGGGCAAGGGCCAUGUCACCCCCUCAGACUGGGAGCUACCUCAGGGCAGUACUUUACUUCUUUCAUUAAUAGGCUACCCCCCUUCCACCCCGCCACCAUCAAAGGCAAAUACAACUGGGGCACCGGGAUGGCUCAGUCGGUUGAGUGUCCAACUCUUGAUUUUACCUCAGGUCAUGAUCUCACAGUCUCGUGAGUUUGAGCCCGGGUCAGGUUCUGCACUGACAGCAUGGAGCCUGCUUGGGAUUCUCUCUCUCUCUCUCUCUCUCUCUCUCUCUCUCUCUCUCCCUGCCCAUUUGUGCUCUCCCUCCCUCCCUUCCUCUCUCUCUGUCUCAAAAUAAAUAAAUAAACUUUCAAAAAAAAAAAAAGGCAAAAACGACCUUUUAAAAUCUGUUUCAGAUCUCAGCCCUCUUGUCCUGAGGAGACCCAGGCCCCGCCCUCCUUCCAUAGGCUCCAAGGCCUGAUGGUUCCUUUGCCGUUGAACGACUGCUCCCCGCCAUUCGAGCUCUUCCCCCUUCCGAUUGGCUUCCAUCCUUUCCUCUGCAGAUGCUCAGCCAGGUCCUAUCUUUGCCUUGCAUUUUCCCUUUCCAGGCAGAUUAUAAAUAUUAUAAAUAUUUACUGAUUCCUUCCCUCCCCUCCCCUAUUUCCCGAGUCCUGAUGGAUGAUGUCCCGUGGAUGUGGCUGAGUUGUCUCUCUCCCAACAAUUCUGAGUCCAGCCCUGCAGGGCCUCUCAAGGAUCACCUCCUCUACCCCCCAUCUCUAGGCUGGUGUUAUGCUAAAGCCACCCCUAGUGAAAGAGAGGUCAUUCUAUACCAGGCACAGUACAUAUGCCUGGUAUUCCAUAAAUGCUUGAGGAUGGGAGGGAGAAAGGAGGGAAGGGAAGGAAAAGAUGCCACAGGUUCUUCCUUCAAAUUCCUCAUGCUUCUCUCUCAGCCUGUUCUUAUCCUCUAGCCUCUCCCCUCAUGCUGUAGAUGAGGCCCACUUUCUCCCGGUGAGAUCUCAUUAGAACUGACUUGCUCUCCUCACCCCCAAAAUUGGACAAUACUUUGUCCUGCCUGGGGCAGCACUUGUCCUGACUCUUCCCACCAGACUUCCUACCAGGGAAGACCCCUGGUCUCUGAUUCUGUUAUAUCUACAUCCCUCCUUUCUUGAACCUUGCUCUACCCCCUGAGACCAUCACACAUACCAAUAAAACCCUAUGGAUAGGAACGGACAAAGGUCCAAGCACUAGGAUGUGAUGGUUUAGUUGGAUGAUUUAUAAUCGCUAGGUAACACCCAUCCCAAAACUUCACAGCUUGAAACAGCAACAGUCCAUGUAUUUGUUCACAACUGUGUACAUUUGGGCAACAGAUGGUUGUUGGCAAGAGCAGCUCCCUUAAGCCUAGAGAAUCCAAAAUGACCUCGCUCAUAUGUCUGGUGCCUCAGCCUGGGGUGGUUGGAAUAGCUGGGAAGCAUUCCUGCCUCAGCCUCUCUCUGUCUCUCUGCAUGGCCUUUCUCUCCAACAUGGUAGUUGGGCUUCCUUACAACAUGGCGGCUGCCUUCCAAGAGGACAAAAUGGAAACUGUAAUGUCCCUGAAAGUCUAGGGCUAAAAGUCCAAGAACAGCUCUUUCGGCACAUCCUUCUAGUCAAAGCAAGUCAUACGGCCAGCCCAGAUUCAAAGGAGGAAAAUAGACUCUACUUCUUGAUGGGAGGAGCGACACGUGUGCACAGGGAUGGGAAGAACAGUUGGCAGCCAUGUUUGCACACAGGCCACCAUAAUGGUCUUAACAUGAAACUGAUGCAGAAUCACCAAGGUCUGUAUAAAUCUACCCAGCUUCCUUGCAGGAGGGAAGUGGGUAGGCUGGAGGUUCCUUGGAGAAGCAAGUACUCCAAAGGCCUUUGGGGCUUUGGCCAGAGUCUGUCACUGCUUAGGAAAAAGGAAAAGGGACUCAGGCUGGGCAGAUCAGAGUUGAGAAGGAGCAGUGUAUAUGUCCAGGGAAAAAAGUGGUCAGGCCAGAGGGAGGGUGUGAAUCCCGAGGGGGAGAUGAGCAGGGAUAGCUUGGCACUGGGCCUUCCUCUGGGGUGGGGGAUGAGCAGGUCUUAUACAACCGGGGGAUGCAGUAUUUUCAUUUUAUCCUUCUUUUCCCCAUAGUCUAUUUAAAGACUGCUUCUCUCCUCCAAGUCUGCAUGUUGCAAUUUCUUUCGUGCUUAGGUUUUGGAUCUUCCAAUGACAAGCCCCAGCCCCUAGAGACAUCUCUUGCCUUGCCUUGCCUUACCACACUUGGGGAACUCUGGAUUUCAGCCUGGGUUUGGCCACCACCACAUCCUCCCCCUGUCCCACUUUUCUUCUGGCUGUUUGUAUUCAGUCUAGACGAUUCAUUUUUAUUUGUUGAUGCUCUGCCUUAGCCUGGGGCAACCAUGGUGUGGUGGAAAGAGCACUAGAAUUGGAGUCAGGAAAGCUGGUUUAAAUUCUGGCUUGACCAUUUACUGGCUGUGCAUAAAUUCGGGCAUGUUAUUUACCUUCUCUGAGCCUCCUACUUCCCAUCUGCCAAGCAGAAAUAAUGAGCCCCAUCUCCAGGGUGGCUAAAAGGAGGAAACAGUGCCUGGCAUUGACCAACAGGCCUUUGUCCCUAAUCCCUACCACCUACUCUGAGUCCCCUCCUUGCCCAGCCCUGUUCACGUCUCUACCUGUCAGCCCCUCCACCAACCACCCCCACCACUGCUGGCCUCACUCACCUCCACAGCCUUGGUAUGAAACCCUCAGUCACCAGGCCUCAGUUUUGCAGUCACUUGAAAAACGUGAACUGAGGAUGAAUUAUGUUCCAGGCACUGUUCUAGGUGCUGGAGGUACAAUGAUGAACAAAACAGACAAAAGUCUCUGCCCUCGAGUGGCCUGCAUUCCAGUGGGAGUGGCGGGGGGUCAGGGGGGGAGGCAGACAAAAGAGACAGUAAAUUUUAGAGCCAUGUGGUCCAAAAUGGCAGCCACUAGCCACAUGUGUAUAUUGAGCCCUUGAAAUGUGGCUGUUCCCAACUGCGGUGUGUGAUAAGAACAAAAUACACAGCAGAUUCAGAGAUUUUGUACCACACAAAAGUGAAAUCUCUCCUUAAUAAUUUUUAUAUUGAUUAAAUGUUGAAAUGGUAUUUUUAGAUAUGUUGGGGUUAAGUAAAAUAUAUUGUUAAAAUUAAUUUCUCCUGGGGGUGCCUGUGGCUCAGUCAGUUGAGUGUCUGACUCUUGAUUUCGGCUCAGGACAUGUCCUCGUGGGUUUGAGCCCCACAUCGGGCUCUAAGCUGCCAGUGCAGAGCCUGCUUAGGAUUCUC